rnacentral:rRNA from 1 species
UGGGGAAUUUGGACAAUGGGCGAAANCCUGAUCCAGCAAUGCCGCGUGUGUGAAGAAGGCCUUCGGGUUGUAAAGCACUUUUGUCCGGAAAGAAAUCCUUGGCUCUAAUACAGUCGGGGGGAUGACGGUACCGGAAGAAUAAGCACCGGCUAACUACGUGCCAGCAGCCGCGGUAAUACGUAGGGUGCAAGCGUUAAUCGGAAUUACUGGGCGUAAAGCGUGCGCAGGCGGUUUGCUAAGACCGAUGUGAAAUCCCCGGGCUCAACCUGGGAACUGCAUUGGUGACUGGCAGGCUAGAGUAUGGCAGAGGGGGGUAGAAUUCCACGUGUAGCAGUGAAAUGCGUAGAGAUGUGGAGGAAUACCGAUGGCGAAGGCAGCCCCCUGGGCCAAUACUGACGCUCAUGCACGAAAGCGUGGGGAGCAAACAGGAUUAGAUACCCUGGUAGUCCACGCCCUAAACGAUGUCAACUAGUUGUUGGGGAUUCAUUUCCUUAGUAACGUAGCUAACGCGUGAAGUUGACCGCCUGGGGAGUACGGUCGCAAGAUUAAAACUCAAA